rnacentral:rRNA from 1 species
AUUGAACGCUGGCGGCAUGCUUUACACAUGCAAGUCGAACGGCAGCGCGGGCUUCGGCCUGGCGGCGAGUGGCGAACGGGUGAGUAAUACAUCGGAACGUGCCCAGUAGUGGGGGAUAGCUCGUCGAAAGACGGAUUAAUACCGCAUACGACCUGAGGCUGAAAGCGGGGGAUCUUCGGACCUCGCGCUAUUGGAGCGGCCGAUGGCAGAUUGGCUAGUUGGUGGGGUAAAGGCCUACCAAGGCGACGAUCGGUAGCUGGUCUGAGAGGACGACCAGCCACACUGGGACUGAGACACGGCCCAGACUCCUACGGGAGGCAGCAGUGGGGAAUUUUGGACAAUGGGCGAAAGCCUGAUCCAGCAAUGCCGCGUGUGUGAUGAAGGCCUUCGGGUUGUAAAGCAGUUUUGGCGGGAACGAAAAGGACUGUGCCAAUACCACGGUUCGAUGACGGUACCCGCAGAAUAAGCACCGGCUAACUACGUG